rnacentral:rRNA from 1 species
CAAGUGUCCUCGACUGCAACAUGGAGCGGUAGUAGGUCCUCGAUGACAGAAGCACCAGCCGUGCGUAGAUUGGUCAAUGCGCCGUGGUGGAGGAGCAACCUGAUCAUGUCAAUAGAGAAUCUUUCGGCAGCUUCGUGGAGGGGAAAGUAGCCAUACUUGUUCAUACCGUUUGGACUGGCGCGGAAACCUCCGAGCUCGGGAGCCUUGCCCUCCAGGACAAGUUUUGCACACCGCAGGGCAUCAUGAAUAAUAAUCCGGUUGAGGACUUCAGGGAUGAUGAUGAAGCCCCAAGCAAUACAACUCGGGCACACAGCAUACAAGCGGAGGAAGCGCUGGACAUUGUCCUUCUUGAGAAUGGGCAACAGGUGGGGAUACAUCUUGUAG